rnacentral:rRNA from 1 species
ACGAGCGGCGGACGGGUGAGUAAUGCUUAGGAAUCUGCCCAGUAGUGGGGGACAACAGUCGGAAACGGCUGCUAAUACCGCAUACGCCCUACGGGGGAAAGCAGGGGAUCUUCGGACCUUGCGCUAUUGGAUGAGCCUAAGUCGGAUUAGCUAGUUGGUGGGGUAAAGGCCUACCAAGGCGACGAUCCGUAGCUGGUCUGAGAGGAUGAUCAGCCACAUCGGGACUGAGACACGGCCCGAACUCCUACGGGAGGCAGCAGUGGGGAAUAUUGGACAAUGGGGGCAACCCUGAUCCAGCCAUGCCGCGUGUGUGAAGAAGGCUUUCGGGUUGUAAAGCACUUUCAGCGAGGAGGAAGGCCUUAAAGUUAAUACCUUUAAGGAUUGACGUUACUCGCAGAAGAAGCACCGGCUAACUCCGUGCCAGCAGCCGCGGUAAUACGGAGGGUGCAAGCGUUAAUCGGAAUUACUGGGCGUAAAGCGCGCGUAGGUGGUUUGGUAAGC